rnacentral:rRNA from 1 species
UACGUAGGGUGCGAGCGUUGUCCGGAAUUAUUGGGCGUAAAGAGCUCGUAGGCGGUUUGUUGCGUCUAUCGUGAAAACCUGCAGCUUAACUGUGGGCUUGCGGUGGAUACGGGCAGACUUGAGUUCGGUAGGGGAGACUGGAAUUCCUGGUGUAGCGGUGAAAUGCGCAGAUAUCAGGAGGAACACCGGUGGCGAAGGCGGGUCUCUGGGCCGAUACUGACGCUGAGGAGCGAAGGCGUGGGGAGCAAACAGG